CGCAUCUGUGCAUGCAGCAUAUCAAUAAGCGGAGGAAAAGAAACUAACAAGGAUUCCCCUAGUAACGGCGAGUGAAGCGGGAAGAGCUCAAAUUUGAAAUCUUAAAGGGUUUCCCUUUACGAAUUGUAGUUUAAAGAAGUGUUUUCUGUUGAGGUUUUGGUAAAAGUUCUUUGGAAUAGGACAUCAUAGAGGGUGAGAAUCCCGUAUUUGACCUUUACUUUCAACUUUGUGAUACGCUUUCAAAGAGUCGGAUUGUUUGGGAAUGCAGUCCAAAAUGGGUGGUAAAUUUCAUCUAAAGCUAAAUAUUGGUGAGAGACCGAUAGCGAACAAGUACCGUGAGGGAAAGAUGAAAAGAACUUUGAAAAGAGAGUUAAACAGUACGUGAAAUUGUCAAAAGGGAAGCGUUUGACACCAGUGUUGUUGUUCUGAAAAUCAAUUAAAGAACUGUUUAUGCUAAGCUGUUUAGACUUUAUCAGCUAUCUGUUUAGCUUUGAGCUUUUCUUUAAUGCACUUUUCAGUUAACAAGUCAACAUCAAUUUCUUUUGCUGUAAAAAAGCUUGAGGAAGGUGGCUUGAGAUUCGUCUUAAGUGUUUAUAGCCUCUUGCCUAUGCAGUCGGAGAGAUUGAGGUCUGCAGCGUAGAUCCUUCGGGGCUAAAUGCAUUUGUGCUAAGUUAUAGCAUUUUAUAGACAACUUGUUGACUAUGAUUUGUCUUGUAGCUUACUCGCUUAUGUUAUUUUACCUACGCUUAGGAUGUUGAAUCUGUGCGAGACUAC
rnacentral:rRNA from 1 species